rnacentral:sRNA from 1 species
ACACAUGUUUUCAAAUCUGUCAAUCCCUUUAACAUUCAUUAGUUCUGGAACGUGAAUCAAGCAAUGCAUCAUCAAUGAACUCAUUUGGCUAAGGUAAAGGUCAAGAGACAAAAAUGGUCCCUUACAGAAUAGGCUUCAGUAACAGGGGAUCUCUUAAAAAAUGAUUAAGCUUUAGUAGAAUGCUAAAGGUAAGUCCCAAGCUAUGCAUAAAGAGAUAAAAUCCCAUCUACCCAGAGUAUAUCAAAUGAAGCUCUAAUGGUAAUCCCAUCUCCAAUCCCAGUAUAAGAACUUAACUCUACCCUUUGCAUUCAUGAAUCCUUUAAACCCUUUUUC